rnacentral:rRNA from 1 species
UACGUAGGGGGCAAGCGUUGUCCGGAUUUAUUGGGCGUAAAGAGCGUUGUAGGCGGUUCGGUAGGUCCGUUGUGGAAAACUCGACGGCUCAACCUCGAGACGCCGAUGGAAACCAUCGAACUAGAGUCCGGAAGAGGAGAGUGGAAUUCCUGGUGUAGCGGUGAAAAUGCGCAGAUAUCAGGAGGAACACCAACAGCGAAGGCAGAUCUCUGGGACGUUACUGACGCUGAGACGCGAACGUGGGGAGCAAACAGGAUUAGAUACCGAC